GUUGACCUCGGAUCGGGUAGGGAUACCCGCUGAACUUA
rnacentral:rRNA from 1 species